rnacentral:rRNA from 1 species
GACGAACGCUGGCGGCGUGCUUAACACAUGCAAGUCGAACGGAAAGGCCCUGCUUGCAGGGUACUCGAGUGGCGAACGGGUGAGUAACACGUGGGUGAUCUGCCCUGCACUUCGGGAUAAGCCUGGGAAACUGGGUCUAAUACCGGAUAGGAGCCAUUUUUAGUGUGAUGGUUGGAAAGUUUUUUCGGUGUAGGAUGAGCUCGCGGCCUAUCAGCUUGUUGGUGGGGUAAUGGCCUACCAAGGCGGCGACGGGUAGCCGGCCUGAGAGGGUGGACGGCCACAUUGGGACUGGGAUACGGCCCGGACUCCUAGGGGGGGCAGAGGGGGGGAAUAUUGACCAAUGGGCGCAAGCCUGAGGCAGCGACGCCGCGUGGGGGAUGACGGCCUUCGGGUUGUAAACUCCUUUCGCUGGGGACGAAGCUUUUUGUGACGGUACCUAGAUAGGAGGCACCGGCUAACACGUG